UACGUAGGCAGCGAGCGUUUGUUCGGAGUUACUGGGCGUAAAGGGUGUGUAGGCGGUUUUCUAAGUUUGGUGUGAAAUCUCCGCUCAACCGGGAGGGUGCGCCGAAACUGGGAGACUAGAGUGCGGGAUGGGAGAGUAGAAUUCCUGGUGUAGCGGUGAAAUGCGUAGAUAUCAGGAGGAAUACCGGUGGUGUAGACGGCUCUCUGGACCGCCACUGACGCUGAGACACGAAAGCGUGGGUAGCAAACAGG
rnacentral:rRNA from 1 species